rnacentral:rRNA from 1 species
AUGAAGCCCUUCGGGGUGGAUUAGUGGCGAACGGGUGAGUAACACGUGGGCAAUCUGCCCUUCGCUCUGGGACAAGCCCUGGAAACGGGGUCUAAUACCGGAUACGACCACCGACCGCAUGGUCUGGUGGUGGAAAGCUCCGGCGGUGAAGGAUGAGCCCGCGGCCUAUCAGCUUGUUGGUGGGGUAAUGGCCUACCAAGGCGACGACUGGUAGCCGGCCUGAGAGGGCGACCGGCCACACUGGGACUGAGACACGGCCCAGACUCCUACGGGAGGCAGCAGUGGGGAAUAUUGCACAAUGGGCGAAAGCCUGAUGCAGCGACUCCGCGUGAGGGAUGACGGCCUUCGGGUUGUAAACCUCUUUCAGCAUGGAAGAAGCGAGAGUGACGGUACCUGCAGAAGAAGCGCCGGCUAACUACGUGCCAGCAGCCGCGGUAAUACGUACGGCGCAAGCGUUGUCCGGAAUUAUUGGGCGUAAAGAGCUCGUAUGCGGCUUGUCACGUCGGAUGUGAAAGCCCGGGGCUUAACCCCGGGUCUGCAUUCGAUA